CUAAGCAUUCCAGAAUCACACAAAAUGUGCAAAAUUCAAAUUAUAUCUGAAUUAAAAACACACUUCUAAAAACACUGUUCAUUGGACAUAGGACAUAGGACAUAGGACAUAUACGCUGUAAAAGGACAAUUACAUGCACUUCUCAUAAGAGAAAACUAACGACAAAGUGCGGAGAAACAUACACAAGGACAUGACUCAAAUAAAUGAUUUAACAUAAGUCGCUCUCCUCGUCAUCCUCAUCAUCAUUCCGACCAACUCCUUGUAUUAUCCCCAUGCUUAGAUGCACAUUUGGAAAAAAACAUAUGUUAAGAAUAAAACACAUAAGCAGAGAUGGAAGGAUCUUACUCCUCGUCCGUAAACAAAUCGCUUUAAGACCAGAUAUGACCCGAUCAAUCUCAUUGGCUAUACAUUGUGAGCUGGAGUCAACUCCUGAUAUGCGUCAACUCCUGAAAUUCAUGGAAUUGAUCAGAUUCUGGGAAAAUUCUACCAAAGAGCCUCUCACAUAGACAUCAACUCCAUUAGCUCUUUCCUCAGAAUCCAAAAACAUACUCUGUUAAUGUUUUUGGUGCCCCAAUCAACAUUAUCUUCAAAGUUAGGGUUGAAAUACAUGGAAUUGAUCAGAUUCAGAGAAAAUUCUACCAAAGAGCCUCUCACAUAGACAUCAACUCCAUUAGCUCUUUCCUCUGAAUCCAAAAAAUUAGCAAUGAGUUUUGUUACACAUUUGGUGAGAAAGGGUCAACAUCAAUCACAUUGUAGAUCAAACCACUGCAUAAUGCGAACAGAAAUUCGCAUUGUCGAUUUUGUAAUGGAAGAAAGCAUAACUUUCCUUGAGGUCACUAGUAAAAAACAUGGCCAUACCUACGAAUUUGCUAUACAAAUUUCGUAGCAAAAUCGAAAAAACUACGAAUUUGCUACGAAACGCUAUUUGUAGCAAACAUUAUCAAUUUCGUAGCAAAUUUUGCUACGAUUUUGCUACGAAUGUAAACGUGGCAACAUAAUAGCUACGAUUUUGCUACGAAUAAUUCGUGGAUACAAAAUAGUUACGAUUUUGCUACGAAAUUUUCUGUUGGUGUUACAGAAUAGCCAUGAUUUUGCCACGAAAAAUUCGUGGCUACAUGAAACCCUAUACCCUAAAUAUGUGUUAACCCCAUAAACUCUAAGAAUAAACCAUAAAAUCUAAUCUUUUCAUACUAUAACCUUAAAAUCUUAAAGUUUAAUUCAAAUUCAAUAUUUUUAAAAAUCUAAUCUUAAAUUUUAAAUCUAAACUCAAUACUAUAUCUCAAACCCUAAACUCUAUGUAUAAUCUUUAUAUCCUAAAUAAAUAAUCUAAAACAUUAAAUCUAAUGUUUUUAAAGUUAAACAAAAAAAAUCAUAAAAUUUUCAUACUAUAACCUCAAAACAUUAAAUUUAAUAUUUUAAAAAAAUUAAUUCCAAAACUUAAAUUUAUACUUCAAACACUAUUUUCCAAACCAUACACUAUAACCCUAAACCUUAUACCCAAAUCAUAAAAUCCAAACACCAAAACUUAAACAUAAACUACUAAUCUAAAAUUUUAAAACCUUAUUCUCAUAUUUACUCAAAACCUUAAACCUAACACUCCAAAUUAACCUUAUAUAAGAAAAUAUUAACCUUAUAUCAUAACACAAUACUAAUUAAAUAACUUUAUGAAUUAUAUUAAAUCAAGUUGUGUUACCCUUAACCCAAACCUAACCCCAAUUCUAUUAGAACUUUUCAAGUUUAUAUUUUCAAUUUAGUCUUUUAAAUUUUUAAGCUCAUACAAUAAAUAUAUACCUCAUUACCUAUUUUCUUAACUCCAAACCUUUAAUCAUAAAUAUAAACUUUCAACUUUGAACUUUUAAUUAUCAAACCCAAAUCCUAAUAUAUCUAAGUUGCAAUUCUAUUGAAAUCAAAGCAUAAACAACAAAAACAUAAAUAUAAUCCUAAACUAUGGAAUCUAAUAAUAAACUAUUAAAGAAAUAGAGUGCUGAUUUUUUAUUGGUUCAUUUUGGAAUGGUGUGGAUCACCAUUUUCUGUUCCUAACCAUUGAUAAUAUUAGAUCCAACGGAUCAGAUUGAUUUGGUUUUGUUUUAACUUUUUCUUCCCUUCUCCCCUCACAAGCUCCAUCGUCUCAUCCCCUCUUUCUUUGUUUUUGACUAAGAUUAUUCUUUCUUCUCCUCACGUACUCCAUCUUCUGCUCCUCAUCUACUCUUUUUCUCCUCUUCUUCUCAAUCUCAACUUAUCUCCUUUGCUCAAUCUCCAUUCAUCUCCAUGUCUAUCCCUACUCUACCUCCAUUCACACCUUCCGUCGUUAGCAUUAGUCGCCAUUGUCGUAGAGACCAAGCCGAUUUCAUGACUCUGUGUUUCAUCCUCUUUCUUAAUCGUUUGUGAAGAAGCAAGAUCUGAGAAGAAGCAGACACGUCGGAGGUGGUGGCGCGCUGGAGGUGGUAUCGUGACGGAACAGACAUGCCGGAUCUGGUGGUGUGACGAAGGAAACGCGACGGAGAUGGUGGUGAAGCACGGAAGCUACGGCGGUGGAGGUGCUGAAGCCGACGGUGACAUUCCUCUGUACCCGUAUAGAUGACGAUGUAUUUGUGUGUAUAUCUGUGUAUUUGUGUAUUUUGUGUAAUAUAUAUAAUAAUAAUAAUUUAAAACCAAAAAUUAAUUUUGGUUUUUUUUCUGAAUUUUUUUUAAAUAAUUUUUUUGAAAUACCCACGAAUUUGCCAUGUUCCGUUUCGUAGCAAGAUUGGUACGAAUUUAAUCGUGACUAUUUCGUAGCAUUUUGCUACGAAAAUUUUCAUAGUAAAAUCGUGGCUUCUUUGCUACGAUUUUGAUACGGCCGAAAUUUGCUACGAUCGUAUACCCACGUUUUUGUUUUCGUAGCCUUUCGUGGCUUAUCCGUUAUAUAGCUACGAAAUUUGGUUCAUAGCCACGAAAAAAACGUGGCUAUAGCGUUUUUUUUACUAGUGGGUCGGGAUUUUCUGCGAGGACCAAAGACAAGUGAUCAA